rnacentral:tRNA from 1 species
GGGCUGGGGCUCAGCGGUAGAGCACUUGCCUAGCAUGUUUGAGGUCCUAGGUUCAAUCCUAAGUGAUUGUCCU